AUGCUUAGUGGCAUUGACUUGGACUCAGGAAUCAGGUUGAAACAAGCUUUUGUCUCUGUUUACAUGUCAUUGGAUUUUCUAAGUCUGGGAAAUCUGACCAUCUUCUUAAAAACCAGGAUGCUUGAUGACACAAACAAAUUAUCCAAGUGCGUCCAGAUUGCACGACUCUAUUUGGAGUGCUGCUGUAUAACAUGCACAAUGUUGGCUGGUGCUGGCCCACAACGCUCUCGUGUUCUUGCUACAUUGUACAAGGUUGUUCCUGGCUGUGGUCACGGAGUUCUACAUAAUACAGACCAAAAAUAUUCAUGCCAAAGGGAAUUCGCAUUGAAAUAUUUACCCGAGGACCCACUUUCUCAGUGCAACAUAUUAUUAUUCCCUUUCAGGAACGAAGAUCUGAAUCACCCUCACCCCUCUAGAGAAAUCAACAUGUGGAUCGGGACAUGUCACAUUGGCUCUUUGUUGUGUUGCUAA
rnacentral:rRNA from 1 species